rnacentral:rRNA from 1 species
GAUGAACGCUGGCGGCGUGCCUAACACAUGCAAGUCGAACGGAGAUUACGGACGGAAGUUUUCGGAUGGAAGACUGUAAUUCUUAGUGGCGGACGGGUGAGUAACGCGUGGGCAACCCGCCCUAUACAGGGGGAUAGCAGCUGGAAACGGCUGGUAAGACCGCAUAAGUCGGCGAGACCGCAUGGUUUUGCCGGGAAAUGAGCAAUCAGGUAUAGGAUGGGCCCGCGUCCGAUUAGCCAGUUGGCAGGGUAAAAGCCUACCAAAGCAACGAUCGGUAGCCGGACUGAGAGGUCGGACGGCCACAUUGGGACUGAGACACGGCCCAAACUCCUACGGGAGGCAGCAGUGGGGGAUAUUGCACAAUGGAGGAAACUCUGAUGCAGCGACGCCGCGUGAGUGAAGAAGUAUUUCGGUAUGUAAAGCUCUAUCAGCAGGGAAGAUGAUGACGGUACCUGACUAAGAAGCCCCGGCUAACUACGUG